CUGAAGCUUUGGGUGGGAUUCUGCUGCCUAAAUGUAGCCCUGUCGUGCCAUCUGAGAUGCCUCGGGUGCCUAAAGGUGUCUCAGCAGCUCCAUAUGUCACCUAUUCUUGGGUGGCUACGUAGGACUGGAUACCAAUAUAUACGUUACUAAAUCCUUUCCCUAUGUCUGAAAACAAUAUGCAAAGACAAGAAAAUUUUGAGGUCACCACCGCUGGUUUUGUUGCCCGGAUCCAUUCAGCCGUCUGCUUUGGGAUCUUGUUCUCGUCAUGCUUCUUCUGUGGUGCAGUUUGACGCUCGAGUAGAUAUACUGGUAGCCAAAAGGGACAACACUUUUACUUUCUCUGCCCUUGGCAUCGCUCUCCCACUGCUCCCCUUAGUGCUGAAGCAGUCUGCUUCGGAGUCAGCUGAACGGCGGUGCUAGUGAAAGGUACGCAGCAGGAACGCUGAAGUGAGCAAGGGCAGUGUGUGUGCAGCUGGCAGCCAGCCACCUUCUGCCUCCCCCUGUCACAGAGCUGCCUGCUUAGGUACACACUUGGCCCUCCAAGUUGUCUUGUCUUUAACUCUACAAAUCCAAAGUGAUCGAGCUGUUCAGGCACAAAGUGGAUUAUAAAGGCUGUGAAAGGCACAUACCAUCUGAAGAUAAAUGGUGCACAAAGGAGCUGGGGCUGUGAAGUUAAUUUCCAGAAAAGAUUAAAUUAAACAGAAAGCAGACCCUUCUGAGGAUGCAUUGCAACAUACGUCCUUUGACAAAACCCAUCCCCUAGAGCCCCCUGGCAAUCUGCAGACCUCCUCAGACUAAACCUAAGAGCCUUCCUGUAAAUAAAGAAGGGACAGACUCUGGAGGCAAUCUGGACCUCUGUGAAAAGCCUCUUUGUGCCAGUCUGCGAGGGCUGGAAACGUCUUAGGCAGCAGAACUAUGGAUGCUGACAGCAACAACUCCUCCAGCGGGCUUGGCGCUCUGACGGGAGGACAGGGGCUGGCUCUGUGACCCCAUACCCUGCAGCUGAGGCAGACUGGCGAGUUACUGGGGCAUCUGGCAGAUGUAAAGCCUUACGUAGUGUUUGGGGCUUGCUCUCCCUAGCCGCUUUCUGCCUCUCCUGGGGCAGGAAGUUUGAUGGUUUCCAGCUGAAACAGUUGAUGGAAAAUUCCUGUUAAGGAAGAAAAAGUAGAGGCUUUGGUAAAGACUUUAUAGUGAUGGGCUGGGGCCAAACCAAGCGAGGCCAGGGCAUGGGCUGGGGCCAUCCCACUGUGCCUGUUGUCUGUGAGGGAUGCAGAGAUGCUUCUGCUGCUGUCAGGCUGCGGGGUGGUGAAUCGGGGCUACUCGCUGCUUCCCCUGGUGGUUCCCUUCUCACUGCACCAAGUGAAGCUCAGGGAACAGCUGAGCACUGAAAGCAGGCUGGGCACCAUUACUGUUGGGAGAGGAGGCCCUGUAAGGAGAACGCAAAGAGCAUCUGAAUCACUUCACCAUCCACAGAAAUACCCUACAAAUAAAGUUGAGUUGUUUAGUUAUAAAUUCAAUGCUGGAAUGGUGUACUCUGGAAUGUAUAUAGGGGAGAGCACCCAAAAAUUAGUAUUACAUUAAUUAUUAGCGACAGCUUUGGCUGAAUUUGAAAGUGUAUCCUAAAGGUGAAAAGCAAUCCUUGGAUUAUCAGGGUUUCUGGAUCAGCCCUAGGACCUGUAGGCUUCCUCAGGCAUUGUUGAAAAUGUUUUGUUUUCCUUCAUUUUUCGUAUUUGAAUCUGGUAAUGUUUCUUUCCUGUUGCUAGUGUUACUGAGCCUCUGUUUAUUGGUCGCUAUUCCUAAAAACAAAUCCAGGCUUCAGCUUUCGUGGGAAAAAGACGUGGCAUGGGGAAACAGAGGAAGGCCCUUUGGAGGAUUUGUGGCAUUUGAUAGCGUUACAAAUGAAGCCAACAGCUAUUUUAAAAAGAGCUAUUCAAGUGGUUUAUUUCUGGCAGAAAUGGAGGAGUCCAAAGAAACCCUUACUCGCUUUGUACUAAGGCUCAGGACGUUCUCCCUGUUGUAUUCCUUCCUCUGCCGCACACUUUAUCUUUUGCGGAUGUCAGUGGAGGGUUUCGUAACACGCUGCGUGUUCCACUCUCUUGCUCUGAGAUCUUGGUGCAGCUUUACACUUUGCAUCUUUAUAAAUAAAUCAUCGGUUUUCACAAAUGAAUCAUCUAUUGUUUGAGUGAUUAAGGACUUGGCAGCGCUGGACUUCUUUUUUGGUUUGGAAGAUAGCUUUGGUUUGGAACAUCCCAAAAUAAAUGAUGUCCAAAAGUU